rnacentral:rRNA from 1 species
UGGGGAAUUUUGGACAAUGGGCGAAAGCCUGAUCCAGCCAUGCCGCGUGAGUGAAGAAGGCCUUCGGGUUGUAAAGCUCUUUCAGGUGGAAAGAAAACGCAUAGGUUAAUACCUUGUGCGGAUGACGGUACCAUCAGAAGAAGCACCGGCUAACUACGUGCCAGCAGCCGCGGUAAUACGUAGGGUGCGAGCGUUAAUCGGAAUUACUGGGCGUAAAGCGUGCGCAGGCGGUUAUGUAAGACAGAUGUGAAAUCCCCGGGCUCAACCUGGGAACUGCAUUUGUGACUGCAUGGCUAGAGUGUGGUAGAGGGAUGCGGAAUUUCUGGUGUAGCAGUGAAAUGCGUAGAGAUCAGAAGGAACACCGAUGGCGAAGGCAGCCUCCUGGGCCAGUACUGACGCUCAUGCACGAAAGCGUGGGGAGCAAACA